AGUAGACGUUCAGAGUUUGAUCCUGGCUCAGGAUGAACGCUGGCGGCGUGCCUAACACAUGCAAGUCGAACGGGACUAUCUGGAAGAUCUUUUCGGAGUGAUUCCUGAUAGUUUAGUGGCGGACGGGUGAGUAACGCGUGGAUAACCUGCCUUUCACAGGGGGAUAGCAGCUGGAAACGGCUGGUAAUACCGCAUACGCUCAUAUCACCGCAUGGUGGUGUGAGGAAAGAUUUAUCGGUGAAAGAUGGAUCCGCGUCUGAUUAGCCAGUUGGCGGGGUAACGGCCCACCAAAGCGACGAUCAGUAGCCGGCCUGAGAGGGCGGACGGCCACAUUGGGACUGAGACACGGCCCAG
rnacentral:rRNA from 1 species